UACGAAGGGGCUAGCGUUGUUCGGAGUUACUGGGCGUAAAGGGCGCGUAGGCGGCGCAUCAAGUCAGGCGUGAAAGCCCUGGGCUCAACCCGGGAAUUGCGCUUGAGACUGGUGUGCUUGAGUACGGGAGAGGAUAGUGGAAUUCCCAGUGUAGAGGUGAAAUUCGUAGAUAUUGGAAGAACACCGGUGGCGAAGGCGGCUAUCUGGACCGUAACUGACGCUGAGGCGCGAAAGCGUGGGAGCAAACAGG
rnacentral:rRNA from 1 species